rnacentral:rRNA from 1 species
UACAGAGGUGGCAAGCGUUGUUCGGAAUUACUGGGCGUAAAGGGCGCGUAGGCGGCCUUCUAAGUCAGACGUGAAAUCCCCCGGCUUAACCUGGGAACUGCGUCUGAUACUGGGAGGCUUGAGUAUGGGAGAGGGAUGUAGAAUUCCAGGUGUAGCGGUGAAAUGCGUUUAUAUCAGGAGGAACACCCAUGGCGAAGGCGGCAUCCUGGACCGGUAUUGACGCUGAGGAGCGAAAGCAUGGGGGAGCGAACAGG